CUACGGGUUGCAGCAGUCGAGAAUCUUCCGCAAUGGACGAAAGUCUGACGGAGCGACGCCGCGUGCGGGAUGAAGGCCUUCGGGUUGUAAACCGCUGUCAGUGGGGAGGAAAUGCAUCAGGGUUCUCCCUGGUGUUUGACCGAUCCGCAGAGGAAGCGCAGGCAAGUUCGUGCCAGCAGCCGCGGUAACACGAACUGCGCGAACGUUAUUCGGAAUCACUGGGCUUAAAGAGUUCGUAGGCGGCCUUUCAAGUCGGGUGUGAAAUCCCUCGGCUCAACCGAGGAAUUGCGCCUGAUACUGUUGGGCUUGAGGGGGAUAGGGGUGAGCGGAACUGAUGGUGGAGCGGUGAAAUGCGUUGAUAUCAUCAGGAACACCGGUGGCGAAGGCGGCUCACUGGAUCUCUUCUGACGCUGAGGAACGAAAGCUAGGGGAGCGAACGGGAUUAGAUACCCUAGUAGUC
rnacentral:rRNA from 1 species